CCUACGGGAGGCAGCAGUGAGGAAUAUUGGUCAAUGGACGCAAGUCUGAACCAGCCAUGCCGCGUGCAGGAAGACGGCUCUAUGAGUUGUAAACUGCUUUUGUACGAGGGUAAACGCAGAUACGCGUAUCUGUCUGAAAGUAUCGUACGAAUAAGGAUCGGCUAAAUCCGGGCCAGCAGCCGCGGUAAUACUGAGGAUUCAAGCGUUAUCCGGAUUUAAUGGGUUUAAAGGGUGCGUAGGCGGUCGGAUAAGUUAGAGGUGAAAUCCCGAGGCUCAACUUCGGAAUUGACUCUGAUACUGUUCGGCUAGAGAGUAGUUGCGGUAGGCGGAAUGUAUGGUGUAGCGGUGAAAUGCUUAGAGAUCAUACAGAACACCGAUUGCGAAGGCAGCUUACCAAGCUACUUCUGACGUUGAGGCACGAAAGCGUGGGGAGCAAACAGGAUUAGAUACCCGGGUAGUC
rnacentral:rRNA from 1 species